AGAGUUUGAUCCUGGCUCAGAACGAACGCUGGCGGCGUGGCUAAGACAUGCAAGUCGUACGGUAGGUUGUAGCAAUAUGGCCUACAGUGGCGGACGGGUGAGUAAUAAAUAGGUAACGUACCCCGGGUACAGGGAUAACGUCGGGAGCUUGCUCCCUUUGCGAAAGUGACGGUAAUACCUGGUAAUGUCAUUUGGAGGCAUCUUCAGAUGACCAUAAGGCGGGGACCUUCGGGCCUACCGGCCUGGGAGCGGCCUAUUUCCUAUCAGCUAGUUGGUGAGGUAACGGCUCACCAAGGCAACGACGGGUAGCCGGACUGAGAGGUUGGACGGCCACAUCGGGACUGAGACACUGCCCGGACAUCUACGGAUGGCUGCAGUAACGAAUAUUCCGCAAUGGGCGAAAGCCUGACGGAGCGACGCCGCGUGGAGGACGAAAAUCUUCGGGUUGUAAACUCCUUUUAGGGUUGGGAAAGCGAAGGGUGUUAAUACCACUCUAAGUUGAUCUAACCCAGAAAAAGCCUCGGCUAAUCCCGUGCCAGCAGCCGCGGUAAUACGGGAGAGGCAAGCGUUGUUCGGAAUCACUGGGCUUAAAGCGCGUGUAGGCGGCUUGGCAAGUACUUUGUGAAAUACUCCGUCUCAAACGGGGAAUUGCUUGGUAUACUGCCAGGCUCGAGGUAGGUAGAGGUGCCUGGAACUCUAGGUGGAGCGGUGAAAUGCGUAGAUAUCUAGAGGAACGCCCGUGGCGAAAGCGGGGCACUGGGCCUGUCCUGACGCUCAGACACGAAAGCAUGGGGAGCGAACGGGAUUAGAUACCCCGGUAGUCCACGCUGUAAACGAUGGAUACCAGGUGUAGGUGGUUAUUGACCCCAUCUGUGCUGUAGCAAACGCGUUAAGUUGACCGCCUGGGGACUACGGCCGCAAGGCUAAAACUCAAAGGAAUUGACGGGGACCCGCACAAGCAGCGGAGCGUGUGGUUUAAUUCGAGGCUACGCGAAGAACCUUACCAGGGCUUGACAUAUAACUGGUAGUGAAGCGAAAGCGGAACGACCCUUCGGGGAGGUUAUACAGGUGCUGCAUGGCUGUCGUCAGCUCGUGCCGUGAGGUGUUAGGUUAAGUCCUGUAACGAGCGCAACCCUCGUCGUUAGUUACAAGUGUCUAACGAGACUGCCGGUGAUAAGCCGGAGGAAGGUGGGGAUGACGUCAAGUCAGCAUGGCCUUUAUGUCCUGGGCUACACACACGCUACAAUGGCCGGUACAAUGGGCAGCCAAGCCGCGAGGCGGAGCCAAUCCCGAAAAGCCGGUCUCAGUUCGGAUUGUAGGCUGCAACUCGCCUGCAUGAAGUCGGAGUUGCUAGUAACCGCGCGUCAGCAACAGUGCGGUGAAUACGUUCCCGGGUCUUGUACACACCGCCCGUCACGUCAUGGGAGUUGGCAACGCCUGAAGUCGGUGGGCUAACGGCGCGAAGCGCUGAGGCAGCCGCCUAAGGCGGGGUCGGUAACUGGGACGAAGUCGUAACAAGGUAACC
rnacentral:rRNA from 1 species